rnacentral:tRNA from 1 species
GGGCUGUAGCUCAGUUGGGAGAGCGCCUGCUUUGCAAGCAGGAAGUCGUCGGUUCGAGCCCGUCCAGCUCC